GAGGUGAUAGUUCAACUGGUCAGAAUCCACCGGAGACGACAGCCCGGUGCGAUGCGGGUUCAAAUCCCGCUCGCCUCA
rnacentral:tRNA from 1 species